rfam:Clostridium botulinum B str. Eklund 17B, complete genome.
CCGUGCUAGAUGGGGAGUUAGCGGUGCCCUGUAACCUGCAAUCCGCUAUAGCAGGAUUGAAUUCCUCGUCGAGGUAUUAAUUUUUUAUAGUCUGACCUUUGUAAGUGGUGUUGAUGACUGGGUCCCACGCAAUGGAAGCGUAUGAACCUCGUCAGGUCCGGAAGGAAGCAGCGAUAAGUGCACACUGCAUGUGCCGUGGAUCAAUCUGGUCUGAGCUAACUGCUAAGGUAACGUAUAGGGAAUUUUUAUCGAAGCGAGGUGCACGG